rnacentral:rRNA from 1 species
GAUUGAACGCUGGCGGUAUGCUUAACACAUGCAAGUCGAACGGAAACGAUGUUAGCUUGCUAACAGGCGUCGAGUGGCGGACGGGUGAGUAACGCGUAGGAAUCUACCAAAUAGCGGGGGAUAGCCCGGAGAAAUCCGGAUUAAUACCGCAUAAUCUCUACGGAGUAAAGAGGGCCUCUAUUUAUAAGCUUUCACUAUUUGAUGAGCCUGCGUAAGAUUAGCUUGUUGGUGAGGUAAAAGCUCACCAAGGCAUCGACGGGUAGCUGGUCUGAGAGGACGAUCAGCCACACUGGGACUGAGACACGGCCCAGACUCCUACGGGAGGCAGCAGUGGGGAAUCUUGCGCAAUGGGCGAAAGCCUGACGCAGCGAUGCCGCGUGGGGGAUGAAGGCUCUCGGGUCGUAAACCCCUUUCAGCAGGGACGAAAAUGACGGUACCUGCAGAAGAAGCCCCGGCCAACUACGUGCCAGCAGCCGCGGUAACACGUAGGGGGCAAGCGUUGUCCGGAUUUAUUGGGCGUAAAGGGCUCGUAGGCUGUUCAGUAAGUCAGGUGUGAAAACCCAAGGCUCAACCUUGGGACGCCACUUGAUACUGCUGUGACUAGAGUUCGGUAGAGGAGAUUGGAAUUCCUGGUGUAGCGGUGAAAUGCGCAGAUAUCAGGAGGAACACCAACGGCGAAGGCAGAUCUCUGGGCCGAUACUGACGCUGAGGAGCGAAAGCAUGGGGAGCAAACAGGAUUAGAUACCCUGGUAGUCCAUGCCCGUAAACGUUGGGCACUAGGUGUGGGGUCUAUUCAACGGAUUCCGUGCCGCAGCUAACGCAUUAAGUGCCCCGCCUGGGGAGUACGGUCGCAAGACUAAAACUCAAAGGAAUUGACGGGGGCCCGCACAAGCAGCGGAGCAUGUUGCUUAAUUCGAGGCAACGCGAAGAACCUUACCUAGGUUUGACAUGUACCGAAAAGCCAUAGAGAUAUGGUGUCCUUCGGGGCGGUACACAGGUGGUGCAUGGCUGUCGUCAGCCCGUGUCGUGAGAUGUUGGGUUAAGCCCCGCAACGAGCGCAACCCUUAUUCUAUGUUGCCAGCACGUAAUGGUGGGGACUCAUAGGAGACUGCCGGGGUCAACUCGGAGGAAGGUGGGGACGACGUCAAGUCAUCAUGCCCCUUAUAUCUAGGGCUGCAAACAUGCUACAAUGGCCGGUACAAAGGGCUGCGAGACCGCGAGGUUGAGCGAAUCCCAUAAAGCCGGUCUCAGUUCGGAUUGGAGUCUGCAACUCGACUCCAUGAAGCUGGAGUUGCUAGUAAUCCCGGAUCAGCAACGCCGGGGUGAAUACGUUCCCGGGCCUUGUACAC